CCUACGGGAGGCAGCAGUCGAGAAUCAUUCACAAUGGGGGAAACCCUGAUGGUGCGACGCCGCGUGGGGGAAUGAAGGUCUUCGGAUUGUAAACCCCUGUCAUGUGGGAGCAAAUUAAAAAGAUAGUACCACAAGAGGAAGCGACGGCUAACUCUGUGCCAGCAGCCGCGGUAAUACAGAGGUCUCAAGCGUUGUUCGGAAUCACUGGGCGUAAAGCGUGCGUAGGCUGUUUCGUAAGUCGUGUGUGAAAGGCGAGGGCUCAACCCGCGGACGGCACAUGAUACUGCGAGACUAGAGUAAUGGAGGGGGAACCGGAAUUCUCGGUGUAGCAGUGAAAUGCGUAGAUAUCGAGAGGAACACUCGUGGCGAAGGCGGGUUCCUGGACAUUAACUGACGCUGAGGCACGAAGGCGAGGGGAGCGAAAGGGAUUAGAUACCCCUGUAGUC
rnacentral:rRNA from 1 species